UCAAACCAAAAGUAGAGUUUUAUGAAGUAGUACUACAAGAAAAAGAAAGUUUAUGACUUUUGGAUUUAGCAAAAUUUUCACAAGGUAAUUUUAUUGACAAAACCCAUGAUUUCUUAUUCGAAUGAAGACAAUAUUGUAACAUGGAAGAAAGUUUUUGAGCAUGUACAUCCAAGACGAUGAUGCCACGAGUACCAUAAUUUAUUUGAGUUAGUGAUGUCUCAUUUAGUGGCAGACAGAUAACAUGCAUGGUAAGGUGUUUCAGACAUGGACAACUGGAACAUUCUCCCAACUUUACGACCCUUGGCGAUCAUCUUCCCUGUCUCCAGAUUCUGAACAACACAACCAAGACGUGAGAAAACAACAAGGCAAUUUUGUUCCACUAGCUGUCCAACCGAAAUAAGAUUAACAGUAAGUUUAGGGGGAAAAAGGACAUUAGUGAAGCAAGAUAAUUUUUCAAUCUUAGAGGCAGGAAAAGUAUCACCAUUGGCUGUGAAAAUAAGAUGAUUUUCUGAUGGAAUUGAUAAAGAGUGUAAAUUAUGGAUAUCUCCUGUCAUAUGGUUAGACGCAGCCGAAUCUAUUUGCCAAACUUUUGAAUUCUUAUUUAAGUUCUUACCAGAAUAGGCAACAGUGAGAGAACUGGAAAUAGCCCCAGGGAGAGCAGCUACAACUGAAUCUUGUAUCAUCUUUUGAAGUGCUUUCGGAUCCAAAGAAGAUGUUGUGAUCUUUGCUUGACUCACAUAAGCUUCAGACGUUUGAUAAGCUUUGUGCUUUGUUUGACGCGUGUUUAGGCGUCAAUUGCACUCCAGAAUUAUAUGGUCAGGCCUCUUACAAUAAUUGCAUAUGUUUC
rnacentral:lncRNA from 1 species